UUGGAGGGCAAGUCUGGUGCCAGCAGCCGCGGUAAUUCCAGCUCCAAUAGCGUAUAUUAAAGUUGUUGCAGUUAAAAAGCUCGUAGUUGAAUUUCGGGGUCAGUAGGUUGGUCGUGCCUAUGGUAUGUACUGGCUUUACUGAUUCCUCCUUCUUGAAGAACUGUAAUGUCAUUAAUUUGGUGUUGCAGGGAAACAGGACUGUUACUUUGAAAAAAUUAGAGUGUUUAAAGCAGGCUAACGCUUGAAUACAUUAGCAUGGAAUAAUGAAAUAGGACGUUCGAUCCUAUUUUGUUGGUUUCUAGGAUUGACGUAAUGAUUAAUAGGGAUAGUUGGGGGCAUUAGUAUUCAAUUGUCAGAGGUGAAAUUCUUGGAUUUAUUGAAGACUAACUACUGCGAAAGCAUUUGCCAAGGAUGUUUUCAUUAAUCAAGAACGAAAGUUAGGGGAUCGAAGACGAUCAGAUACCGUCGUAGUCUUAACCAUAAACUAUGCCGACUAGGGAUCGGAUGAUGUUAAUUUUUUUAAUGACUCAUUCGGCGCCUUACGGGAAAC
rnacentral:rRNA from 1 species